UUGAAUGGUUGAGACUUGUACAGCUGCCUUACAUGAGUGAAUUAUUAUCUUAGAACAUUAAAUAGCAGAUUAGCAGCAUAUUUAAAGUUGAAUAUUAUCCUAAUAUUUUAAGUAUAUUGCCUUUUAUUCUUUUCCACCCUGUUUAUUCUUCACUUAUGCAAGGUUAAACAUUGAUGAGGAAUCAUCUAGUAAUUUAGUGUUUACUGUUAUCUCAGUGAAAAUCGUACUGUAUCAAAAGUAGAAGAAUGAAGUAAAAUGAAACAUAGGUUCUGAUGAACUAUUCUCAACAUAAUAUAUGAUGCCUACAUUUUCCUCUGGAUUCAAGGAAAACUCUUGUUACAAAUAAAACUUAUAUCAGCAACAA